AAAUGACUCUCGGCAACGGAUAUCUCGGCUCUUGCAUCGAUGAAGAACGUAGCGAAAUGCGAUACUUGGUGUGAAUUGCAGAAUCCCGUGAACCAUCGAGUCUUUGAACGCAAGUUGCGCCUGAAGCCAUUAGGCUGAGGGCACGCCUGCCUGGGUGUCACAAAUCGUUGCCCCAAUGCCAAUGCCUGACUAAGUAAGGUGUUGACGGGGCGAAUGUUGACCUCCCGCAAGCACUGCCUUGUGGUUGGUUGAAAAAUGAGUCCUGCAUGGAGAGCCCCAUGAUAAAUGGUGGUUGAGUAACACUCGAGACCGAUCAUGUGUGGCCUUUCCUCAAGUCAAGCAAGACUGACGUGACCCUCGUGUUCUUUUGAACGCUCAUAACGAGAACUCAAGGCAGACGGGGCUACCCGCUGAGUUUAAGCAUAUCAAUAAGCGGAGGAAAAGAAACUAACAAGGAUUCCCUUAGUAACGGCGAGCGAACCGGGAAGAGCCC
rnacentral:rRNA from 1 species